GGGUGGGAGAGUUGUUCCCCGGACCUUCCAAGGCAACUAGGGCAUAUCUGCACUCUGAGGCAGACGUCGAGACUGCAUUGCGUAGGGUUGGCUGGAAAAUUAGGAAGAGAGGUCUAAUCUCAACCCAGUUUUACUUUGCCACUUUGGUUGAGGCAGUUCCUGCUUGACACGGACCUGCUUGCCUUGCCUUGCAUCUCAGUUUUGACUCUUCCUCUUCCUCUAUUACUCCCCCA
rnacentral:misc_RNA from 1 species